AUUGAACGCUGGCGGCAGGCCUAACACAUGCAAGUCGAGCGAGCGGCGGCCAGGUGAGAAAUGUAUGGGGACUCGCCGAUCGAGGGGGGUAACUACUGGAAACGGGAUCGAAUACCGCAUCCUAUCGGAUAACACAUAUGGGAUUAGCUAGUAGGUGAGGUAAUGGCUCACCUAGGCGACGAUCCCUAGCUGGUCUGAGAGGAGGAUCAGCCACACUGGGACUGAGACACGGCCCAGACUCCUACGGAGGCAGCAGUGGGGAAUAUUGCACAAUGGGCGCAAGCCUGAUGCAGCCAUGCCGCGUGUAUGAAGAAGGCCUUAGGGUUGUAAAGUACUUUCAGUCGGGAGGCGUUACCGACAGAAGAAGCACCGGCUAACUCCGUGCCAGCAGCCGCGGUAAUAC
rnacentral:rRNA from 1 species